AAGUCGUAACAAGGUCUCCGUUGGUGAACCAGCGGAGGGAUCAUUACAAGAGAAGCUCCGGCUCUCCAACCCACUGUGAACAUACCUACGUUCCCCCGGCGGGCUCAGCGCGCGGUGCCUCCGGGCGCCGGGCGUCCGCCGGCGGGCCAACAAACUCGAAUUUACUACGUGUAUAUCUGAGGGGCGAAAGCCUGUAAAAAUGAAUCAAAACUUUCAACAACGGAUCUCUUGGCUCUG
rnacentral:misc_RNA from 1 species